AUCUCGUUCCCAGAGUAUGCCUGUUCGCGGGUUAGGUAGUGGCCCGCGAACAGGCAUACUCUGGGAACGAGAUUGAAUG